rnacentral:rRNA from 1 species
GAUGAACGCUGGCGGCGUGCCUAAUACAUGCAAGUCGAGCGAACAGACGAGGAGCUUGCUCCUCUGACGUUAGCGGCGGACGGGUGAGUAACACGUGGAUAACCUACCUAUAAGACUGGGAUAACUUCGGGAAACCGGAGCUAAUACCGGAUAAUAUAUUGAACCGCAUGGUUCAAUAGUGAAAGACGGUUUUGCUGUCACUUAUAGAUGGAUCCGCGCCGCAUUAGCUAGUUGGUAAGGUAACGGCUUACCAAGGCAACGAUGCGUAGCCGACCUGAGAGGGUGAUCGGCCACACUGGAACUGAGACACGGUCCAGACUCCUACGGGAGGCAGCAGUAGGGAAUCUUCCGCAAUGGGCGAAAGCCUGACGGAGCAACGCCGCGUGAGUGAUGAAGGUCUUCGGAUCGUAAAACUCUGUUAUUAGGGAAGAACAAAUGUGUAAGUAACUAUGCACGUCUUGACGGUACCUAAGCAGAAAGCCUCGGCUAACUACGU